GAUCAGUGAUGAAAACUGAGUAUCAAAGGACCUUCCAGUAUGCUUUGAUGUAUGAUUGCCAUAGUUGGGAGA